rnacentral:rRNA from 1 species
CAGUAGCCGCGGUAAUACGUAGGUGGCAAGCGUUGUCCGGAAUUAUUGGGCGUAAAGGGCUCGCAGGCGGUUUCUUAAGUCUGAUGUGAAAGCCCCCGGCUCAACCGGGGAGGGUCAUUGGAAACUGGGAAACUUGAGUGCAGAAGAAGAGAGUGGAAUUCCACGUGUAGCGGUGAAAUGCGUAGAGAUGUGGAGGAACACCAGUGGCGAAGGCGACUCUCUGGUCUGUAACUGACGCUGAGGAGCGAAAGCGUGGGGAGCGAACAGGAUUAGAUACCCCCGUAGUCCCUGUCUCUUAUAC